ACGCUGGCGGCAGGCCUAACACAUGCAAGUCGAGCGGUAGAGAGAAGCUUGCUUCUCUUGAGAGCGGCGGACGGGUGAGUAAUGCCUAGGAAUCUGCCUGGUAGUGGGGGAUAACGUUCGGAAACGGACGCUAAUACCGCAUACGUCCUACGGGAGAAAGCAGGGGACCUUCGGGCCUUGCGCUAUCAGAUGAGCCUAGGUCGGAUUAGCUAGUUGGUGGGGUAAUGGCUCACCAAGGCGACGAUCCGUAACUGGUCUGAGAGGAUGAUCAGUCACACUGGAACUGAGACACGGUCCAGACUCCUACGGGAGGCAGCAGUGGGGAAUAUUGGACAAUGGGCGAAAGCCUGAUCCAGCCAUGCCGCGUGUGUGAAGAAGGUCUUCGGAUUGUAAAGCACUUUAAGUUGGGAGGAAGGGUUGUAGAUUAAUACUCUGCAAUUUUGACGUUACCGACAGAAUAAGCACCGGCUAACUCUGUGCCAGCAGCCGCGGUAAUACAGAGGGUGCAAGCGUUAAUCGGAAUUACUGGGCGUAAAGCGCGCGUAGGUGGUUAGUUAAGUUGGAUGUGAAAUCCCCGGGCUCAACCUGGGAACUGCAUUCAAAACUGACUGACUAGAGUAUGGUAGAGGGUGGUGGAAUUUCCUGCGUAGCGGUGAAAUGCGUAGAUAUAGGAAGGAACACCAGUGGCGAAGGCGACCACCUGGACUGAUACUGACACUGAGGUGCGAAAGCGUGGGGAGCAAACAGGA
rnacentral:rRNA from 1 species